rnacentral:rRNA from 1 species
UACGUAGGGGGCUAGCGUUGUCCGGAUUUAUUGGGCGUAAAGAGCGUGUAGGCGGCCAUGUAGGUCCGGUGUGAAAACUCGAGGCUUAACCUCGAGAUGUCAUCGGAAACCAUUUGGCUAGAGUCCGGAAGAGGAGAGUGGAAUUCCUGGUGUAGCGGUGAAAUGCGCAGAUAUCAGGAAGAACACCAAUGGCGAAAGCAGCUCUCUGGGGCGGUACUGACGCUGAGACGCGAAAGCGUGGGGAGCGAACAGG